rnacentral:rRNA from 1 species
AACGUACGCUGGCGGCACGCCUAACACAUGCAAGUCGAACGCAGUAGCAAUACUGAGUGGCAGACGGGUGAGUAACAUGUGGGAAUCUGCCUUGUGGUUCAGGACAACAUUGGGAAACCGAUGCUAAUACUGGAUAAGCCCUUACGGGGAGAGUUUUAAUGCCAUAAGAUGAGCCCGCAUUUGAUUAGUUAGUUGGUGAGGUAAUGGCUCACCAAGACAAUGAUCAAUAGCUGAUCUGAGAGGAUGAUCAGCCACACUGGGACUGAGACACGGCCCCGACUCCUACGGGAGGCAGCAGUGGGGGCUCUUGCACAAUGGAGGAAACUCUGAUGCAGCGAUGCCGCGUGCGUCGCCCUGGCCUUUGGGUUGUCCACCUCUUUUUUAGGGGAAGAUAAUGACUGUACCCUAAGAAUAAGGUCCGGCUAACUACGUGCCAGCAGCCGCAGUAA